rnacentral:lncRNA from 1 species
CGGAGAUGUCAUUGGAUUGGAUUGGGCUGGACUGGAUUAAUUCCUAUGGAGGUCUGAAUUUGUCCGGCUAGCAUCACCGUUGGGUUUAAUCAGAGCUAACUAGAUGCCAGCAGCAGAGAACCGAACAGAAAUAUUUGGUGGGCGCUUGUUUGCCGCUCUGUAUUUUUACAUCCCUCUUUGCUUUACAGCCCAAGCUUGAAUGGCAGAUGGGGAAACGGAGACAGUCGCGCACUUGAGGCGAAUCCCUAGGAGAUCCUCCUAUACGGCAGGCAAGAGAAGGGGGAAAGUCUCCGGCCACAUUCCUCCGUUACAACACACCUGAGUUGUUGAUGCUAAUUAACAACAUCUGCUCGGUGGGUGCAACUUCCGCCGGACCACGGAGAAGUUUGCAGGGAAGAGCUGAGUGGGGGUUUGCUGCUAAGCUGAAGAAACCUUCUCGGGACAGCUUCUGACGAGAGGCAGAAGGUGUCCAAAAGCGGAGGGGCGACACACUACAAGAGACUCGGUGUCUGGCACCAAGGCAUCUCCCAGCCAACAGUGGCAACUAGGAUCUCUCCGUCUCUCUUUCCCGGGCCGAACGGCAGAGGAAACCUCCGCGGUGGCGACGUGUCACUGGAACGAGCACCAGGAUCCCACGCACUCGGGCAGGAGGGAGGCCCCAGCAUGUGCGGCAGCUCCACAAG